GCACGCGGCAAGCAGUGAACUCCUCAAAAGCAUAGUGUAAAAAGGCAGCCGCAGAUAACUGCGACUCGGAAAAGCUUUUAUCCUUAUGGCCGUUUUAUAUACUUAAAUAAUGGGGAUAAAUUGUGAGGCAGUCAACACCUUUCGUCCGAAGACAUAAAUUAACUUGUCUCUCGAAUUGGGCGGCUGCGAGAGCCGGUCGGUCGGUCGGGAGACGCUCGCUAUAUAUGCUCCCUUUCUAUCUCCGCGAGCCGAGAGACGAGCAGCCACAGACGAAGCAGCAGGCCGCGUCACGCAACAGGUUUUUGCUCUUUUCGGUGAAAAAGUGCGGCAAGCAGGACACCUUUAUCGCUCGACCUGGCAAGUUCAGUCAGUCAGCACUCGAUCAUCUCAACGGGCUAACCAGUCCGGCUGGCUGCCAGGCAGCAGAUGAGCCGGUAAUAAGUCUCCUGACCUGGCACAAGUCUGCUGGCAGAGAUGGAUGCUGCGGCUAUCUGCGCUGACACGCCAAGAUUGAAGACUCUCUCUGAAAUACUCACACACAUGCCCUCGAGCAAGCCUCUCGCGUAUAAUAAUAAAUGGUUCGUUUAGCUGCAGCGCCUCCGCCAACUGACUGACACCUCUCGGCACCACGUGCUGCCUAAUUACGGCACACGCAAUUUCCAUUAGGCAGCCAGCGCAUCUCUAACACCCCAAUUAGCUCGUACCAAGCCAAUUGUGUUCUUGGUUAGGGGCUUGUGUCUAGUUUUCUGACUUAAAUGUAAAAGCUUUUGGAACAAUUAUAUUUUGGAGUAAUUAUCUUGAUUGAAUCAAGAUUUUUACUCCAAACAAUUCCUUUAUGUAACGAGUUAAAAUAAGUCAGUCUUAGUAAAAUAAAAUAAAAUUUUUGAGCUAAAAAUUAAUACAAUUGAAAAAAAUUACCUUGUUCUGCACACAAAAUACAAUAAAGCAACAGCCGAAUAAUUUUUGCAAGUUUUGGUGAACCCUUUGCAGAGGGCAGUGUUUUUC